UGCGGUUUAAUUGGACUCAACGCCGGGCAGCUCACCGGAUAAGACAGCUGGAUGAUAGCCGGGCUGAAGACUCUGCUUGACUAGCUGAGAGGAGGUGCAUGGCCGUCGUCAGUUCGUACUGUGAAGCAUCCUGUUAAGUCAGGCAACGAGCGAGACCCACGCCAACAGUUGCCAGCAUGUCCUCCGGGAUGAUGGGGACACUGUUGGGACCGCCUCUGCUAAAGAGGAGGAAGGAAUGGGCAACGGUAGGUCAGCAUGCCCCGAAUUAUCCGGGCUACACGCGGGCUACAAUGGUCAGGACAAUGGGUAUCGACACCGAGAGGUGGAGGCAAUCUCCUAAACCUGUCCUUAGUUCGGAUUGUGGGCUGCAACUCGCCCACAUGAAGCUGGAAUCCGUAGCAAUCGCGUUUCAAAAUAGCGCGGUGAAUAUGUCCCUGCUCCUU
rnacentral:rRNA from 1 species